rnacentral:rRNA from 1 species
GAUGAACGCUGGCGGCGUGCCUAAUACAUGCAAGUCGAGCGAACAGACGAGGAGCUUGCUCCUCUGACGUUAGCGGCGGACGGGUGAGUAACACGUGGAUAACCUACCUAUAAGACUGGGAUAGCUUCGGGAAACCGGAGCUAAUACCGGAUAAUAUAUUGAACCGCAUGGUUCAAUAGUGAAAGACGGUUUUGCUGUCACUUAUAGAUGGAUCCGCGCCGCAUUAGCUAGUUGGUAAGGUAACGGCUUACCAAGGCAACGAUGCGUAGCCGACCUGAGAGGGUGAUCGGCCACACUGGAACUGAGACACGGUCCAGACUCCUACGGGAGGCAGCAGUAGGGAAUCUUCCGCAAAGGGCGAAAGCCUGACGGAGCAACGCCGCGUGAGUGAUGAAGGUCUUCGGAUCGUAAAACUCUGUUAUUAGGGAAGAACAAAUGUGUAAGUAACUAUGCACGUCUUGACGGUACCUAAUCAGAAAGCCACGGCUAACUACGUG